GAGUAACACUGGGUAACCUGCCCAUCAGAAGGGGAUAACACUUGGAAACAGGUGCUAAUACCGUAUAACAAUCGAAACCACAUGGUUUCGGUUUGAAGGCGCUUUUGCGUCACUGAUGGAUGGACCCGCGGUGCAUUAGCUAGUUGGUGAGGUAACGGCUCACCAAGGCAACGAUGCAUAGCCGACCUGAGAGGGUGAUCGGCCACAUUGGGACUGAGACACGGCCCAAACUCCUACGGGAGGCAGCAUG
rnacentral:rRNA from 1 species